AUUGAACGCUGGCGGCAUGCCUUACACAUGCAAGUCGAACGGUAACAGGUCUUCGGAUGCUGACGAGUGGCGAACGGGUGAGUAAUGCAUCGGAACGUGCCCAGUAGUGGGGGAUAGCCCGGCGAAAGCAGGAUUAAUACCGCAUACGACCUGAGGGUGAAAGGGGGGGAUCGCAAGACCUCUCGCUAUUGGAGCGGCCGAGGUCAGAUUAGAUAGUUGGUGGGGUAAAGGCCUACCAAGGCAACGAUCUGGAGUUGGUCUGAGAGGACGACCAGCCACACUGGGACUGAGACACGGCCCAGACUCCUACGGGAGGCAGCAGUGGGGAAUUUUGGACAAUGGGCGCAAGCCUGAUCCAGCAAUGCCGCGUGCAGGAAGAAGGCCUUCGGGUUGUAAACUGCUUUUGUCAGGGAAGAAAUCUUCUGGGUUAAUACCCUGGGAGGAUGACGGUACCUGAAGAAUAAGCACCGGCUAACUACGUGCCAGCAGCCGCAGUAAUAC
rnacentral:rRNA from 1 species